rnacentral:rRNA from 1 species
UGGGGAAUAUUGCACAAUGGGCGAAAGCCUGACGCAGCGACGCCGCGUGAGGGAUGACGGCCUUCGGGUUGUAAACCUGUUUCAGCAGGGACGAAGCGCAAGGGACGGUACCCGCAGUAGAAGCAUCGCCUAACUACGUCCCAGCAGCCGCCGCAAUACGUAGGGUGCAAGUGUUGUCCGGAAUUACUGGGCGUAAAGAGUUCGUAGGCGGUUUGUCGCGUCGUUUGUGAAAACCGUCGGCUGAACUGCUGGAUCGCAGGCGAUACUGGCAGACUUGAGUACUGCAGGGGAGACUGGAAUGCCUGGUGUAGCGGUGAGAUGCGCAGAUAUCAGGAGGAACACCGGUGGCGAAGGCGGGUCGCUGGACAGUAACUGACGCUGAGGCACGAAAGCGUGGGUAGCGAACAGG